UGCAGUAAUUAGAAUUUUAUUGCAUUUUCAAUCAAAACAUUGAUCAACAUAUUAGUAUCUAUGCAAAGACUUUUUUUGUAAGAUAACAAUUUAGAGUUAGUACAAUUUAAAUACAGUGUUUAAAAUAAAGAGACAGUGAUUAGUGAUAUUAACUACAAUGUCAAAUACAGGGUUGUAAGCAGAACAUACGUUUUGAAUAUCAUGCAAGAUAAUGAAAAUAAAUCCAAGAUUAAAAAAAAAUAUAAGCUAAAGGGAGAUGUAGCCCACUGCCACCAUUUGCACUCAUGCCUCUAACAUACAUUAGGAUAAAAGAGAUUGAACAAGAAAAGGCAGAGCAAAUGUGCAGUAAAAAUGAAUCUAGUCUUAUGUUUAAAAAAAAAAAAAAAAAAAUCAGCCUCACCUAACAUCAUGAAAAUCAAAAUUCAUUGGGACACAUGGCACAGUUUACACUUAUAUUGCAAUGUAACAGAAUUUAGGAAUACAUUCACAUUGCAGAUUUGGCAGAAUGCCUAUAGCUAAUACAAUAAUGACAAAGUGAUGCAACAGUUAUAGAUCAAAGCAGAACCCCAAUCAUAGUUGUAACAGAACACAAAGAUCAUUUUCUGUUUCUCCCACAUAAGCAUAUCUACGAGGACAGAUGAUAUAUUAUGACAUUUUCAGUCUUGCAGUUAAUUCUGAAUUAUAUAUUGUAAAUAUUGCUGUGUGAGCAUAAUUAAAGGUUUUACCUUUUGUCACAUGACCACAUGCCCCACAGCAGAGCUAUAUGUAGCAGACAGUUCACAAAAUCUGGAUUUGACCUAGGAUGAUUAAACUUGUUAGUACAUGCCUAAAGGUUCCUUCAGGUAGCACUCCUCUUGAAGCCAAUUAAGGAUUAGACAUAAAAAUGUUGGGUAGAAUGGGACCUGUUUGGAGGAUAUUACAUUUAUCCUUAAUUAUUUGUGCAACUCCACCAGACCUUUUUUUUUUUUUUUUUUAAAUGACCUGCCUCCGAUCAUUGUAAGUCAUGAUUGUGCCAGUGCCAUACACACAGUCUCAUUUCUAUGUUCUCACUCAGUGAAGGGAUUUUGCAUGCUUCUAAAAUAAGAAAAACUACCACAUCAAGAGGGCAAAAGUUAAAAAAUAAUAUUAGGAAGUGUUACUUUACUGAGAGGGUAGUGGAUGCAUGGAAUAGCCUUCCAGCUGAAGUGGUAGAGGUUAACACAGUGAGGGAGUUUAAGCAUGCGUGGGAUACACAUAAGGCUAUCCUAGACUUAAGAUAAGGACAGGGACUAAUGAAAGUAUUUAGAAAAUUGGGCAGACUAGAAGGACCGAAUGGUUCUUAUCUGCCGUCUCAUUCUAUGUUUCUAUGUUUGUUGUUAAAUAACAGCUCCAACUGCGCCAUAAAUGAAAAAGGACAUCUGAAUUGUGGAUGAUUGUCAAAGGUACAAUAAACUGAUGUAGCUGCUUUGGGUGUGGAGGGGUACUUGAAGAGGAAUAAACCCCAGAGAAGGUAGAAAAAUGCUGCCUUCUGUCUGGAUCCCACAGACCCAAGUGGACCUCUGUAGGGCAGUACUGUAACUUUUAUUUACAAUAAGAGAGUAUAUAAAGUGAUCCAUUAUUCCACCUUUACCCACAUUUUUAAGGUUAUAUUUGUCAUGCAGUUUUUUUUUUGGUACAGUAUUUUUUGUAUGUUUAUAUAUAGAAAUAUUUUGUUUUUGUGUGUUUAACUCAAAUAUGGUUUAAUAAAGUGUUGCCUGUCUGUUUCCUUCAUUGAUUUCCCAGCUGACACUGUUUUUUGUAAAGUGAACUAAGUGAUUUCUCGUUGGAAAUGCAAUACUUGAGUUAAUGUUCAUUUCUAUACAGUUUUUAAUGAUCUAUUCUAUACAGUGAUGAAAGGAGAUCAGUUUUCUUAAAGAUUUAUUCACCAAACUGUGAACUGUUGCAAGUUGCCAAAAUAAUUUUAUUGAAACAAAUUCAGCUCUCUUUCAGUAUGGUAAUUUGUUUUUCCAAAUUUGGAAUUCCUUUUUCAAUUUACCACAGUUCAUAAAUUAAUGAAGAGAGAUAAAUAUGACUGGAUGUUGUGGAAGAUGGCCACAAUAACAGUUAGAUCAUUUUCUGUGGGCUAUUUGGCCCUUCUCUGGCUGUGUAUCCACAAUAACCAGCCAGCUAGGGCAUUCUUAACUGGUACUGCCACUUCAGAAGAGUUUGUUGCUUUCCAAUAUUUUUGCCCCACUAUUUAGGAAGCAAGACAUUAUCUUGCAAAACCUGUAUAACUUAUCUGCCAGAGUUACUCAUCAAUAGCACAUUGCGUAUUAUCCUCACAUCCCUGGUGAAAUUAUCCCAUAAGGGAAUGUUGUUGCAUGUAGUAAUAUUUUUCUUCCCUGCCUCAUCCAUUUUUACACGUCCUGUAUACUCUUCUUGCCAUAUCCAGAAUAUAUCAUGUGGAGUGGUCUUUGUUUCUAUGUAAAACUACAAAUAGAGGUCCACAGGCAUCACAACGUAGGGUGAAGGAAAAAAUAUAUAUUUAUUGUUUUAUAAUAUUCAGACACGCUGCUGAGGGGUUAUAAAUGGAGUUCUGCAAAAAUCAUUUCUAGGGGUAUAGAAAGAAUAUCUGAGGUGAUCUCUGAUUGGACAGAUUUCAAAAGCGAUCUAACUACACAAGCCCAGUUGUCCUCAACAGAUCAUAGAUAAGAGAAGCAACUUCAGUUAUUCACUCUUUUACCACCAGCAAAGAUAAUUUAAAAAAAUAUAUAUUAUUCUGACGGCAUUUAUCUGAGAGGGUGCUGCCCUAAGUGCCUCUAUGGACAAGCCGCCACUGCUCCAUAUCCAUAGCUCCAAUGGAAUAAACUAUCCAGCCAUUCUGGUCCAUCCACCUCACUCAUCUCCUUCCCUUUACUCAAUUUUUUACUCAUUAUCUUUCUCCUUUCAAUCCCUCAUACUGUGUUAGGUUUCCUUCCACAACGAGAUCAUGUUUAUAUUUUUGCACAAAACCUCUGCAAGUCUAUUGUGUCUAUUAUAAGGACAGGAUUGUUUUGAAAACGCCUUCCAUGUCCCAUGUCAAUAUCCCCUUCAUAUGAAAGCUAUAUUUAUUCUGGUUUGAAAAUGUCCUUUCUAACAAAAAAUGAAGUCGUUCUAGAUUUAUAAACAUGUGGUACAAUCUGGACAACAGAAUAAAUAGUUUGAUUCUUCACAAAGUGAGUAAGUGCUUAUUAUACCCAGGUUUUGCAUGCUAAAUAUUGUUUUUGCCACAGGAGAAUGCAUAAAUGGUUGGCUAAUUUAAUUAACAUUUCUAUACAUAAUUAGGAAGGGAGAAAACCCUUGUUUAACGCAUACAUUUAUUAUUAAGAGAUACUGUAUAAACAUUUCAUAUUGUGUCAGGAGCAGAUUAUUUACUGUAAUUAUACAUGUCAUAUGUCAAAGAUAUGUGUCAUUAUCAGAUCUUUACUGACUGCAUUCCACAAGAAGCAUUUGAAAUCUACCACCUUUUAUCUGUGAUUAAAAAAAAUAGAUCAACAAAACUCCUCUCCAAAAGCUGGCAUGUACCGUUGGUUGCAGUGGUGUAUCCUGGUUUUGUGCUGCCCUAGGCAGGACAAAACUCAGGCACCCCCCUGCGCCACCCCCACCCAACCUUCUAAAUACACACAUACACAAACAGUCAGACACACACCACAGUCAGACACACAGUCAGACACAAACACACACACACAGUCAGACACAAACACACAAACACACAGUCAGACAGUCAGACACAAACACACACAGUCAGACACAAACACACACAGUCAGACACAGACACAAACACACAGUCAGACACAAACACACAGACACAAACACACAGUCAGACACAAACACACACACAGUCACAGACACACACACAGUCACAGACACACACACACAGUCAGACACAAACACACACACACACACAGUCAGACACAAACACAGUCAGACAAACACACACACAGACACAAACACACACACACACACAAACACACACACAGUCAGACACACACACACACAUCAAAAAAAUGUCUUCUUUUUAUUUAACCCCCCCAGCCUCCUUACCUUUGGGAGUGCUGGGGGGGGUCUCUCUCUCCCUGGUGGUCCAGUGGCUGCCGGUCGGGCAGGUGGCGCUGGCAGGCGGGCGGCUGGCGAGGGAGCUCUUUCUCUGAGC